rnacentral:ribozyme from 1 species
CGGAGAUGAGCUCCAGUCCCUUUGAAAAACCAUCGCGCGUACACAGAGAGAAGGGGAUGAGACAAGUUGUGAGAUGAGAUGAAAACAUUUCUCUUUCUGAUCUCAUCUUCAUCCCCUUUUCUUUUUUUUUUCUUUUUCUUUCCGUUUUCUU